rnacentral:rRNA from 1 species
UACGUAGGGAGCAAGCGUUGUCCGGAAUCAUUGGGCGUAAAGCGCGCGUAGGCGGCCUCAUAAGUCCGUUGUGAAAGUCAAAGGCUCAACCUUGGAAAGCCGGUGGAUACUGUGAGGCUAGAGUACGGAAGAGGAGAGUGGAAUUCCUGGUGUAGCGGUGAAAUGCGCAGAUAUCAGGAGGAACACCCGUGGCGAAAGCGGCUCUCUGGGACGGUACUGACGCUGAGACGCGAAAGCGUGGGGAGCAAACAGG